rnacentral:rRNA from 1 species
GACGAACCGUGCAAACGGUUAUUCGGAAUCACUGGGCAUAAAGGGCGCGUAGGCGGCUUUCUAAGUCAGGGGUGAAAUCCGGCAGCUCAACUGUCGCAGUGCCUUUGAUACUGGAGAGCUCGAGGGAGGUAGGGGUCUGUGGAACUUCCGGUGGAGCGGUGAAAUGCGUUGAUAUCGGAAGGAACGCCGGUGGCGAAAGCGACGGACUGGACCUUUUCUGACGGCUGAGGCGCGAAAGCCAGGGGAGCAAACGGG